AAGUUAUGCAAACUUUAAGGGGUGAUAACAUAGCUCAUAAGAAAUAGAAGUCAUGGUUUCGUAAUGCCAGGACUUUGUUGGAAUAUGAGGAGAGGAAUGGGGCAUGUUUCUCAGUCCCAUGAAUAGCACCUUUGUUUCAGAAAUCCCGAUGGGAAGAACCUCAUAAGAACUCUUGAAUGAAUUUGGGAUCAUGUCCAUAGGAUACUCUUGUAUAACAUGCCUCACUCAAUAAAGGCAGUUACAGAGUAUCAAGAUAGGUGUUAUCUCCUACUCCGUUAUGAUAAGGUAAGAAACGAAAUCCAUCCCUUAACGUAACAACCAGGUC
rnacentral:lncRNA from 1 species